CAACAACAAAAUAAACGCUGAUACCGAUGUUACGUUCAUCAUCCGGGCACAUGGGUACACGUUAACACAUUUUCCCCGAGUAUAAAUCAAUGAAGCGGUAGAAGAUUGAAAGUCGAAUAUGAAUAGUUCAUCGCUGGUAUCGGAAAAACCUCCUCCAUCGCUAAGUAGUUCAGAAAGGCGAGAAUGGUAUCGCGAAAAGAAAAGGGUUAUUAAUAGGUCAAGAGUUCAGAAACAUAGAAACAAAUCAAAUGAAAGAAAACGUGAACCCGAUAGGUUUCUCGCAAAGGA